rnacentral:rRNA from 1 species
UACGUAGGGUGCAAGCGUUGUCCGGAAUUAUUGGGCGUAAAGAGCUCGUAGGCGGUCUGUCGCGUCGGCUGUGAAAACCCGGAGCUCAACUCCGGGCCUGCAGUCGAUACGGGCAGACUGGAGUUCGGCAGGGGAGACUGGAAUUCCUGGUGUAGCGGUGAAAUGCGCAGAUAUCAGGAGGAACACCGAUGGCGAAGGCAGAUCUCUGGGCCGUAACUGACGCUGAGGAGCGAAAGCGUGGGGAGCGAACAGG